rnacentral:rRNA from 1 species
CGAACGGGAUUUCAUUUGUAGCAAUACCGAAUGAAAUCUAGUGGCGAACGGGUGCGUAACACGUGAGCAAUCUGCCGGGAAGUGGGGGAUAACUCGCCGAAAGGCGAAUUAAUACCGCAUAUGGCCAGGGAGGACAUCCUCCCGAAGCCAAAGUCGCAAGACGCUUCCUGAUGAGCUCGCGGCCUAUCAGCUAGUUGGUGAGGUAACGGCUCACCAAGGCUAUGACGGGUAGCUGGUCUGAGAGGACGACCAGCCACACUGGAACUGAGACACGGUCCAGACACCUACGGGUGGCAGCAGUCGAGAAUUUUUCACAAUGGGGGAAACCCUGAUGGAGCGACGCCGCGUGGAGGAUGAAGGUUUUCGGAUUGUAAACUCCUGUCAAAUGGGAACAAGAAAGUGAUAGUACCAUUAGAGGAAGAGACGGCUAACUCUGUGCCAGCAGCCGCGGUAAUACAGAGGUCUCAAGCGUUGUUCGGAUUCAUUGGGCGUAAAGGGUGCGCAGGCUGUGGGGUAAGUCGGAUGUGAAAUUUAGGGGCUCAACCUCUAAACUGCAUUCGAUACUGCUCCGCUAGAGGUAUGUAGAGGAGAUUGGAAUUCACGGUGUAGCAGUGAAAUGCGUAGAUAUCGUGAGGAAGACCAGUGGCGAAGGCGAAUCUCUGGGCAUUACCUGACGCUCAUGCACGAAGGCCAGGGGAGCAAACGGGAUUAGAUACCCCGGUAGUCCUGGCAGUAAACGGUGCACGUUUGGUGUGGGAGGAUUCGACCCCU